GAUCUUGUGGUAUAGUGGUUUGAGUGUCAGACUAUGAAUCUGGAGACCAAGGUUCGAUUCUCUGCUUGGCCG